GCCUUCGUGGUCCAAUGGUCAGCACACUGAGCCGGUAUUUCAGAGGUCCGUGGUUCGAUCCCCGGCGAAGGCA
rfam:Stegodyphus mimosarum contig29846, whole genome shotgun sequence.